CAGCAGCCGCGGUAAUACGUAGGGUGCAAGCGUUGUCCGGAAUUAUUGGGCGUAAAGAGCGUGUAGGCGGCUCGACAAGUCCGCUGUGAAAGUCCAGGGCUCAACCCUGGAAUGCCGGUGGAUACUGUCGAGCUAGAGUCCGGAAGGGGCGAGUGGAACUCCUGGUGUAGCGGUGAAAUGCGCAGAUAUCAGGAAGAACACCAAUGGCGAAGGCAGCUCGCUGGGACGUGACUGACGCUGAGACGCGAAAGCGUGGGGAGCGAACAGGAUUAGAUACCCCUGUAGUCCCUGUCUCUUAUAU
rnacentral:rRNA from 1 species